CUAAAACUAGUUACUUGUUAUUUUUUAAUUGAUUCUUAGUGUGUUAAAGUUUUCUAAGAAUCAAUUAGAAAAUGAUAAGUGCCUAGUUUUGG
rfam:Prunus persica cultivar Lovell chromosome G6, whole genome shotgun sequence.